GUUGGCGGAUGAGACUGGGUGGGCCCCAAAACUACGUAUCAAAUAAGAAUUUCACCCAUAUUCGGUCUCCCAGAGUCCGAGAGAGAGAGGAGCGGUGAAAGAUGACUCGGGGAAAGCAGAAGAUCGAAGCGCAGAGACGAAAUGCGGAGAGGAAUCAGAAGGCAAAAGGGUCUCAGUUUGAGGCCAGAGCCGUUGCUCUCAAAAUCACCUGUCCAAUUUGCAAGGUACAACUUGCAAACCCGAAGCAACUUAGCGAUCACUAUGGUUCCAAACAUCCCAGAGAAAAUCCUCCUCCCAUUGAAUCAGAAUGAUCAGUUUCUCAUGUGAAAGAAAGCAUUAAAGAGCAGAAGUAAAAAGUCCUUGCUGUGUUGUUUCAGAGUUUGGACUGUAUAGGCUUGUAUGAAAUCCCUCCAGCUUCUGACCCUGGUCUGUGAACCGUUGUAUGACUAGGAAGAAUGAUUGAUAAUGUUCUGUCAGAUCUGGAGUUACAUUGGCUGUGAAUUUAAGUUUUGUUUCUGCUCGAAGUUUCUAUGUGUAAUAAAGAAUGAUCUGAACAGAAACCCGAAAAUUUUCGUUGUAUCCCAAUAUCGAACGAAUACUUAUAUGUCUCCUGUGUUCGAGAUCUUUUGUGUGGA